rnacentral:rRNA from 1 species
CGCGGCCUAUCAGCUUGUUGGUGAGGUAACGGCCCACCAAGGCGACGACGGGUAGCCGGCCUGAGAGGGUGACCGGCCACACUGGGACUGAGACACGGCCCAGACUCCUACGGGAGGCAGCAGUGGGGAAUAUUGCACAAUGGGCGCAAGCCUGAUGCAGCAACGCCGCGUGAGGGAUGACGGCCUUCGGGUUGUAAACCUCUUUUAGCAGGGAAGAAGCGAAAGUGACGGUACCUGCAGAAAAAGCACCGGCUAACUACGUGCCAGCAGCCGCGGUAAUACGUAGGGUGCAAGCGUUGUCCGGAAUUAUUGGGCGUAAAGAGCUCGUAGGCGGUUUGUCACGUCUGCUGUGAAAAUCCAAGGCUCAACCUUGGACUUGCAGUGGGUACGGGCAGGCUAGAGUGCGGUAGGGGAGAUGGGAAUUCCUGGUGUAGCGGUGGAAUGCGCAGAUAUCAGGAGGAACACCAAUGGCGAAGGCACAUCUCUGGGCCGUAACUGACGCUGAGGAGCGAAAGCGUGGGGAGCGAACAGGAUUAGAUACCCUGGUAGUCCACGCCGUAAACGGUGGGUGCUAGCUGUGGGCCACAUUCCACGUGGUCCGUGACGAAGUUAACACAUUAAGCACCCCGCCUGGGGAGUACGG